AUGGACGAGGACGACGAGGAGCAGCUGGAGGAGGAGGAGGAGGUGGCCGAGACGGGGAUCGACUCCCAGGUCCAUAUGGCUUGUGUAAUGCAAGGGCGUAGGGUUGGAGUGUCAUACUAUGAUUCAAAUACGCGCCAGCUUUUUGUAUUGGAAAUCUGGGAAGAUAGCGCUGGGGGAUUCCCUCUGAUUGAUCUUGUGAAAUGUCAAGCAAAACCAAGCACCAUAUAUGCAAGUACAAAGACAGAAGAAGAACUUCUAUCGGCUUUACAGAGAAAUGAUAGUAAUGAUGACCCCCCUGUUGUGAAGCUCAUGAAAAGCUCAACAUUCACCUAUGAGCAAGCCUGGCACAGAUUAAUAUACUUGAAAGUUGCAGCAAUGGAUGAUGGAUUAAGUGUAAAAGAGAGGAUUUGCUUUCUUAAUUCCAUGAUGGAUCUUGGAAGUGAUGUUCAAGUUCGUGCUGCUGGAGGUCUUCUUGCUAUAUUAGAUAGCGAGAGGCUUCUUGAUACCCUUGAACAAAUGGAAGGAGGAGCAUCCAUUGCAAUUGAUUCUGUGGCACAGAUCUCAUUAGACAGAUUUUUGAAACUUGAUGCAGCUGCUCAUGAGGCACUACAUAUUUUUCAAGUGGAUAAGCACCCCAGUUACAUGGGAAUAGGAAGAGCUAAAGAAGGGUUUUCAGUCUUUGGUAUCCUCAAUAAGUGUGUGACACCUAUGGGAAGACGUCUCUUGAGAGCAUGGUUCUUACGUCCCAUAAUUGAUAUCGAUGUCAUAAAUAAUCGCCUCAACACAAUAUCUUUCUUCCUUUGCUGUGAAGAAGUAAUGUCUGCACUGCGUGAGACUUUGAAGUCUGUGAGAGAUGUUCCCCACAUGCUCAAGAAAUUCAACUCUCCAAGUUCCAGCUGUACAAGCAGUGAUUGGCACACAUUUCUGAAGUGCAUUUGUUCUUUGCUUCAUAUAAACAAGAUUUUUGAGGUAGGAAUAUCAGAGCAUCUGGCAAAUAAGUUGCAACAUAUGAGCAUUGACUUGGUUGAAAAGGCAAAUUCUUCAAUUACAGCAGAGCUGGAUUAUGUAUCGAAUCUGGUGAUUGGUGUCAUUGACGUACAACGGAGUAAGGAAAAAGGCUAUGAAACAUUGGUGAAAGAAAAUUUAUGUGAUGAGUUGGAUGAACUGAGGAUGGUGUAUGAAGGAUUACCUGACUUUCUGGAGCAGGUUUCAGCUAAUGAAAAUGCCUCCUUCCCUUUCUCGCUCGAAUGCAGAAAAGCUCCGCUAAUUGUCUAUGUACACCAAAUAGGAUACUUGAUGUGUUUUUUUGAUGAGAAGAUAAGUGAGGCCUUGUUAAUAGGACUUCAAGAUUUUGAAUUUGCGUUUUCAGAGGAUGGGGAAGAGAGAAGGUUCUACUACCAUACUCAGAAGACAAGAGAGCUGGACAACCUUCUGGGAGAUAUUUAUCAUAAAAUUCUUGACAUGGAAAGAGCAAUCAUAAGGGAUCUAGUAUGCCGUGUUCUUCAGUUUCUACCUCAACUGACAAAAGCAGUGAACUUUGCAGCAGAACUUGAUUGUAUUUUAUCAUUGGCAAUUGUUGCGCGCCAAAACAAUUAUGUGAGGCCCAUCUUAACCGAGGAUUCCAUACUUGAGAUACGGAAUGGAAGACAUGCUUUGCAGGAAAUGACCGUUGACACAUUUGUUCCAAAUGAUACGAAAAUCCGCAGUGCAGGAAGAAUAAACAUAAUAACUGGACCUAACUAUUCAGGGAAAAGCAUUUACAUUAAGCAGGUUGCAUUGGUGGUUUUUCUUGCUCAUAUUGGAAGCUUUGUUCCUGCUGAUUCUGCUGUUGUUGGAUUGACUGAUAGGAUAUUCUGUGCAAUGGGAAGCAAGUCAAUGACAACUGAGCAGUCAACAUUUAUGAUUGAUUUACAUCAAGUUGGAACAAUGCUCAGGCAUGCAACAUCGAGAUCACUGUGCUUAUUAGAUGAAUUCGGUAAGGGUACUCUAACAGAAGAUGGUAUUGGUUUGCUUGGAGGGACUAUCAGUCAUUUUGCAAAUUAUGAUUAUCCUCCAAAGGUCCUUUUGUCAACACAUCUGACGGAGAUCUUCACCGAAAACUACUUACCACAGUCUGAACAUAUAAAAUGCUGUACCAUGAGUGUUCUGAAUCCUGAUGGACAGGCAAGCAAUGAAGAUAUCAUAUUCCUUUACAGACUUGUACCUGGACAGGCACUCUUGAGCUUUGGACUUCAUUGUGCACAGCUUGCUGGUGUUCCCAGUGAAGUUAUUCAGAGAGCUGCUAGUGUUCUGGAGGAUAUCCAUUCCAAGAGACCUGUAAGGCGCAUGAUCUGCGAUAAUUUGGCGGCAAAGGACAAGCAAUACCAGGAUGCAAUGGCAAAAUUGUUGGCCUUCGAUCCGCGCAAAGGUGAUCUGAACCACUUCUUUGAGGACGUAUUUCCCCCUGAGGCGUAG
rnacentral:rRNA from 1 species